rnacentral:tRNA from 2 species
GCCGGGGUGGCGGAAUUGGUAGACGCGCCGGAUUCAAAAUCCGGUUCCUUUGCGGGAGUGAGAGUUCGAUUCUCUCCCUCGGCACCA